rnacentral:lncRNA from 10 species
CCUGUAACGGUACUUCUUGCUCAGUGACAGCAGCAACCCACCUCCUUAUCCCUUUCAUUGGCUUAUAAACCCGUCCUUUAAACCACUAUUUGGGAGGUCGGGCCAUCAGUUUCGGCGUUUUUUCCAGAGAGGCAGGCUCACAGCGAUAUCGCGAGAGACGAGUUUCACUCUCGUUGCCCAGGCUGGAGUGCAAUGGCAUGAUCUUGGCUCACUGCAACAUCUGCCUCCUGGGUUCCAGUGAUUCCCCUGCCUCAGCCUCCUGAGCACCAACAGGGAAUUGCUCUGUCACGCAAGCUGGAGUGCAGUGGUGCCAUCUCGGCUCACUGUGACCUCUGCCUCCUGGGCUCAAGCCAUCCUCCCACCUCAGCCCUUCAAGUAGCUGGGAUUACAGAAUUCCACCACUGGAGAGUCAUUGUCCGAGUCUUCCAGACUUACUAAG